rnacentral:lncRNA from 1 species
CUGAGCCCACGCUCCCAAUGCCCACUACCCACUUCCUGCUCCAAGCCCAGGCCCUGGCCAUGGUGGCAGAGAGGGGCUCACCUGGGGGUCUCAGGCUCCGAGCCCCGAAGGAGGGCGCUCUGUACCAGGCCCGUGAGACUGGCGAUCUGCUUCUCCAUGGCCUCCAUGCGCUCCCCUGGGGAGGAGUCCUUGGCUGGCACUGGUGGCCCGAAGCCCACGAGCGCGCGCUCCCCGGGCCCGGGGAAGAGCUCGGGCGGGGGGACCCCAGUUCCAGAGGCGCCUCCGGUGCCGCUGCGCGUCUUGGCCCCAGGACUCUCAGCGAAGACGGACGAGGAGCCCGAGUCCUUGCGGAAGGACUGGCGCACGGGCGAGCCGCGGCUGGGUGGGCCUGAGUAGGGGCUGUGGGGCGGUGGAGGUCCGCCGGGGGGCGCCCCCCACGUCCGCCAGCUUCUGCGGCGAUGAGGGCGGCAGGCGGAAGCUGUAGCCGUCGCCGUAGAGCGCGCCGCCGCCGGCCGCCGCCUUGUAGAGCGAGUCCUCCAGGUCGGACUGCAGCGCGGCGGCCGAGUAGGUGCUGAGCGAGCGCACCGAGCCGCGCUUGUAGAGCCCGCCGGCGCCCGGGAACGCGAAGGGUUCGCCGGCCGCCGCCAGGCUCAGGCGGCCCUCGUGCAACAGCCCGUAGGGGUCGGCGUACAGGCCCUCGCCCUUCACCAGCAUCAUGCCGCCCGCCUUGCCCGCCAGGUCCUCGUCAGGCUUCACAUCGCGCCGCUCCAGGAUGGCGCUGGGGCUGGGGCUCACUCCCUGCGCCCCCGCCGUCGCCGCCCCCCGGGCGCCCCCCCAGCCGCUCUGCCGCAUGGUGCACCGGGCUGCCGGCGUACGAGGGCGGGCGCCCCCCUGCGGCGUAGGACAGGCGCGAGCGCGACGGCGACCCCGAAGGCAGCCCCGAAGGCAGCCCGGGCGGUGGCGAGCUGGAUGCCAGGUGCGGGGCCGGCGACAGGUUGUUGAGACGCCGCGUGGGCGACGACUCCCGCGACGCGUACACCAUCUCUCUC